AUUGAACGCUGGCGGCAGGCUUAACACAUGCAAGUCGAGCGGGGGAAGGUAGCUUGCUACCGGACCUAGCGGCGGACGGGUGAGUAAUGCUUAGGAAUCUGCCUAUUAGUGGGGACAACAUCUCGAAAGGGAUGCUAAUACCGCAUACGUCCUACGGGAGAAAGCAGGGGAUCUUCGGACCUUGCGCUAAUAGAUGAGCCUAAGCCGGAUUAGCUAGUUGGUGGGGUAAAGGCCCACCAAGGCGACGAUCUGUAGCGGGUCUGAGAGGAUGCUCCGCCACACUGGGACUGAGACACGGCCCAGACUCAUACGGGAGGGAGCAGUGGGGAAUAUUGGACGAUGGGGGGAACCCUGAUCCAGCCAUGCCGCGUGUGUGAAGAAGGCCUUAGGGUUGUAAAGCGCUGUAAGCGAGGAGGAGGCUACUUUAGUUAAUACCUAGAGAUAGUGGGCGUUACUCGCAGAAUAAGCACCGGCUAACUCUGUGCCAGCCGCCGCAGUAA
rnacentral:rRNA from 1 species